AUGUCAGCAGUCCUCCCUGUUGUGAUAGAUUGCAUAGGAUGCUGCUUCCGGAUCCAAAGGAACAAUCGACAGACGUCACAAAGAUCCACCUCUGGCUGCAUCAGAAAAUUAUGCUCCUGGCGCCACCAGCGAGUGCACCCCGCUAAUGGGUCGGGGACAGAAGAAACCCCGGGCUCCCAUGAAAGGCUGCCCAGCACCGCAGGAGGAAUAGAGGCUCCAAGUGGCUGCACAAUGCCGGCCGAUGACGCAACUAAUAAUAAUGGCAUGGCUUUGGAGCGCCCCACUCCAGUGACAAACAAUCGGGGUGAAGAAGAAGAAGGUGGGUCUUCCUUGCGGGCAUUGGUUGGAGAGCAGCCAGAUCCUGGGUUCCUUUUGGAAAGGGGGUAGUCUGGGAUGUGGAGCAGGCAGCUCUUUCCCAGUCAUAGUGAUGCCCUGGUGGCACCUGCCCUGGACACAAGUCUCUUGUGUUGAUUCCUUGGGUUGUGACACAUUCCGAGGGACAGGGAGUGAGGUCCAUGUGUGAGCACAUGUGGUGUAAGUAUCUGUUUCCUCAUGAGCUCUCUCCUAUUUAUACAGAAAAUACACCGCUCAACGUUCCUUAAGAAACAUCCCAUCACCUCUGCGUACCACCCCUAUAGGCAUGCAUUCGCCCCUCACCACUGCUGUCCCCACGUUGGCUUAAUUUUCCCGUUGCUCAGGUGGAGAUGGUGCAGAGAGAGUUGGCCCAAGCUCUUGACCUCCUACAUGGGAAAGCCAAAGUGGGACCCAGGCUGGGUUCCCUAUGGGGACGCUCUGGACCCCUGACCUGCACCUCUCCCUCAGCCAGGACUUGGUCGUUCGUGGGGAGCACGGAGCGGGGAGGGUCCCUGCUCCGUGUCUAUGCCCGGGAAUUCCAGGGUCUCCAGAGGGCCUGUCGAUGCUGUGCAUUUUAAAAGGUCCCUGUCAGUGCUGCGGUCAUUGCUUCAACAUGGCCAAAGCAGAUGGGAAUCGGCGAGGCGUAUGCUUGUAUUGGACAGUGUCACUGUCAUUCUCACACUUGACCACCCUAGGUAGCACACACCCAGGCGACCUUGCAAGUAAGAGCUCACAGUUCACCCUCAUCCUUAGCCUGGUGUGCGGCACCAUUGUACAAACUCGCUGCCCAUCUGGGUGAGAAGGACUCCGUGCUCCCUCUGUGUUUCUCUCCAUGAAGUAAGUCCCUCUUGUUGUAAGGCUCUUGGGAGGGCAGACAUCCUUUUUGCUCAAGGCCCAUGCACCAAAUGAAGCCUGCAGAAAAACUGUCAUGUGAUGGAUAGUGGUUGGAUUUCAGUAUUGUCAUGUGUUCUAUUUUUGGUUUUUAAGAUCAACGUUUUGGGUUUAAGAUCCCUUCAUUAGCAUACUUUUCCUAGAAUUACCCCUCCAGGAAAGUUCUAAGUUUUCUUAAAUGAUUUUAAUUUUUUCCUUUACACUCGGUUUAAAUUUUUCUGUUAAUUUCUGCUGUGCAGGAAAGUGAUCCUGUCGCACACGCGUGCACACACGCACACAGACACACCCAUAUACAUGCUUACAUUUUCUCCCACUAUCCUCUAUCACGUUCCUUCGUGAGUGGCUGGAUGUAUCCCUGUGCGAUCCAGUGGGCUCUCAUCGCAUAGCCAGUCCAGAUGCAAUUGUUUGCAUCCCUAAAGCCCAGAGUCCCAGUGCAUCCCACUUCCUCCCUGACCCCACUGGCAAGCACAAGUCUCUUCUGCAAGUCCUUGAGUUUCUGUUCCGUGGAAAGGAUCAUUUGUGCUGUGUUUUAGAGUCCAGAUAUAAGUGACAUCAUGUGGGGUUGGUGUUUCUCUUUCUGAGGGACUUUGCUUAGGAUGAGCGCCUCUAGUUCCAUCCACUCUGCUGCAAAUGGCACUAAUUCCUUCCUUUCACGGCUGAGGAGUACCGCAUUGUGUAUAUAUCCCACCUCUUGUUAACCCAUUCAUCUGUCGGUGGACGUUUAGGUGGUUUCCACGUCUUGGCUAGCGUGAGGAGUGCCGCACUGGACACUCGGCGCUGUCGUCAACGUCCAUGGGUGCCUGUAUCUUGUUCAAGGCAAGUCUUGUCCCCACAUACGCCCAAGAGUGGGAUUUCUGGGCCACAUGCUAGUUCUAUAUUUAGUUUUCCGAGGUCCCUGCAUGGUGCUUUCCAUAGCGGCUGUGCCAAGUUACAUUCCUACCAACAGGGUGGGAGGGUACCCUCUUCUGCACACCCUCUCCAGCAUUUGUAAUUUCUAGCCUUACUAAUGAUGGCCCUUCUGACAGGUGCGAGGUGGUACUUCUUAGCAGCUUGGAUUUGCCUUGUUCUAAUCAUUCAUGGUGUUGAGCAUGUUUUCGUGUGCCUGUUGGCCAUCUGUCUAUCUUCCUUGGGUGACUGUCUAUUCAGUUCUCUUGCCCAUUUUUCAAGUGGGUCGUUGUUUGUGUUUGCUGUUGAUGGUGUCUUGUCUUAGGUUUAAGUCUUUAAGCCGUUUUGAGUUUCUUUUUGUGCACGGUUUGAGGGUGUUGUUUUCCAGUUUCCUGGAUUUUCAUGUGGCUGUCCAGCUUCCCAGCACCACGCGCUGAACAGACUGUCUUUUCCCCCCUUGACAUUCUUGCCCCCUUUGUUGAAGAAUAAUUGACCGUCGGUUUGGGGUUUAUUUCUGGGUUCUGUCUUCUGUUCCAGUGGUCUGUGUGUCGGUUUUGGUACCUUUGCCACACUGUCUUGCUUACCGUAGCUUUGUAAUAUUGACCGAAGUCUGGGAGAGGUGUGCCUCCUGCUUGGUUUUUGCUCCUCAGGAUUGCCUUGGCCAUUCCGGGCCUGUUUAGGUUCCGUGUAAAUGUUUGGACGGUUUUGUUCUAGUUCUGCGAAAACGAUCACGGAUAGGGAUGGCAUUGCAUCUGUAGAUUGCUUUGCGUAGAACGGCCAUUUUUAGGAUAUUCAUUUUUUCCAAGCCAGGAGCGUGGCCUAUGUCUGCCCUUCUUUGACUCCUCCUUAAUUUCCUUGAGUCAUGUUUUAUUGCUCUCGGCGCAGAGGUCUUGCAGCUCCUGGCUCAGGUUGGUCCCCAGAUGUUUAAUGCUUUGGGUUCUUCCUUGGACCCCUGCUUGAGUGGCUAAGAGGAAGGCCAUCCCCUCCCCUGGAGUGAACACUGGGGGAGGUGUCUCCUUGCAAGCCUGGGGAGAGCAGCCUUCCUCCUGUUCCUUGGCCCUCUGCAGCUACCCGUGUGCACUCCAGGGCCUUUGCCCAUCCCCUUGUCUACCGCCUCUCCUUGUUUUGUCUUCCUUCUUUCGCGUUUACACAGGGUCAUUUUUCUCAUGCAUCCUCCUCACCUGACAAAAAAUAAAAAAGAACAAAGAGGAAAAGGGGAGAGCUCU
ensembl:lncRNA